GGUGGUCGGUCCCGGAAGCGGAACGGGCAAAGGCGGAAGUGAGGGCCGGGGCCUGCGAGACGCACCGGCGGGAGCGGCGCUGCGGGCGUUGCAACCUGCCUACAGGUGGAGAACCUGCAGCAUCCUUAACUCCAGGCACUCCUGCACUUAGACCACCACGAUGGCAGGUCGAGGUGGAGCUGCCCGACCGAAUGGACCAGCUGCUGGGAACAAAAUCUGCCAGUUCAAACUUGUUCUCCUGGGAGAGUCAGCGGUGGGGAAGUCCAGCCUGGUCCUGCGCUUCGUCAAGGGGCAGUUCCACGAGUACCAGGAGAGCACAAUUGGAGCUGCCUUCCUCACACAGACAGUGUGUCUGGAUGACACAACGGUGAAGUUUGAGAUCUGGGACACGGCGGGGCAGGAGCGAUACCACAGCCUGGCCCCCAUGUACUACCGGGGGGCCCAGGCUGCCAUCGUGGUCUACGACAUCACCAACACAGACACAUUUGUACGAGCCAAGAACUGGGUGAAAGAGUUGCAGAGGCAGGCUAGCCCCAAUAUUGUAAUUGCACUAGCAGGAAACAAGGCAGACCUUGCUAACAAGAGAGCUGUGGACUUCCAGGAUGCACAGACAUAUGCAGAUGACAACAGCUUGCUGUUCAUGGAGACGUCAGCGAAGACAGCGAUGAAUGUGAAUGAAAUCUUCAUGGCAAUAGCCAAGAAACUGCCAAAAAACGAACCCCAGAACGCUCCUGGUGGCCCGGGCAGGAAUCGGGUGGUGGACCUUCAGGAGAGCAGCCAGCCCAGCAGAAGCCAGUGCUGCAGCAACUGAGCAGCUGCUGCAGCCCACGAGCCCUUGGAGCAGUGACUGGAACCCACGCUAACGAUCGCACUUACCGUAGGGCGGCUGCUGCUGGCGCCGCCGUGAUUCUCCAUCCCUUUCUGAUCAUAGGCUGGAGGGAGUUCUUCCACCUGCACCUUUCUGUACAAAUACUAAUUCAAUUCUAAGUCUUAAGUCACUUUUUUAAUAUAUGAACUUCUGCUCUUCCCUCUUCCUGGUGGUGGUGGAUGCAGGAGCUGGUGUCUGCCCAGCCAGCGUGGCCGUCCCGCAGCAGGGACUGGACCUGAGCACAACAGUUCUUGGUGGAAGCUGAGCUGUGCUGGGCUUCUCCUGGUAUGUCCCACAUCUUGGUAGGGAAAUGGGGCCCUUCCUUCCUUCCUGAGGAGGGAGAAAUGGGGCUCCUGAGCUUGGGCUGUGUGGCUGCUCCAGUGAUGCUGCUGCUGUUCACUUGGCUCCAGUGUGCUCAAGGAAGCUUGAGGGAAAUUGUGGGAAUUAUUCCUUGCUUGAUACUUCUGGGGAAACUCUACAAUGCAAGAUGGGAAGGGGUGGGGGAACAGUGUGUGGAGGAGCUCUGCUCUGCAGUGGGACAGGCUUGGGAUGGUGCUCCAGAAUUCAUGAACACAAUGCCUGUCCCUGGAGCACAAUGGCCUGGGAAGAUGCUGCUCUCCUGUCACUGCUGCAAGGACUAUGAGACCCCAACACCCUGGGACCUGGAGUCAGUGUGGAAGAAGGAGCAGCCCCUUGCAGCUCCAUCCCUACCAGCUGUGCUGCCAGCAGCACCAUUUGUGCUCAGGAGAGGCUGAGGAUGGAGAUGUGCAGCAUUUGGAACCCACUGCCCCCCUCAGCUGAGGGGCUGGGUCACAGAGCCUGUGAGUAGAGUUGUAUGAACAGCCUUGGCUUGUGUGCCCUUCAUCUGCUAUCCAAGGUCUCAGUGCCUCUUCCUCAUGCUGGAUUUCCUUAAAAUCCUGGAAGUGGGAAGGGUCUGAAGUGAUUUGGGGAUGGAGUGCCUGGGAUCAUGCUGGAGCCUGGGCUGCCUGUGGGGUGUGGGCUCCUUUGUGUGGUGCUGUUUGUGCCUGCCCUGCUUAGCUGCUGGAGGUGCUCAGGAUCUCUGUGGGACCACCCAGUGCUUGCUGUGUGGGGUGGGCUGAUGCUGCUGGUUUCCCCAGGCAGCCAGAGCUGGACCAGUUUGGAGAGGAGCUUCCCUGAUGCCACUCAGAACCAUUCAGUGGACACUGCGUGCGGUGCUGUUGCCAUCUGCUGGCUCCUCUGCCUGCUUUCCUCCUAGACUUGGAGUCUCUGUGAAGGCACCUGUGGUACCCUAAGGAGGGUGUUGCUGCUUGCAACAGGUGCUCAGGGGCUCAGUAACGAGGCUGGGGACCUGCUGGUGUUCCUGGUGUGUGUGAUCUCAGGGUGCUUUAGCACAAACAGGCGUUCCUGCCUGCAUACCUGCUGCCUGCCCACACAGCUGCUGCCUGCCCGGGCCUGAGCAGGGUGUUUGUGGUGGUUACGCGCCGCACCCGGGGUUGGGCUUCUCCCUCCCCGCUCCUGGGAGCUCAGGGUGGACUCCAGCAGCCCCUUGCCAAGGGAAGGGGAAAGUGUGGCUACAGCAGUCUCACACCACACCCAGGCAGGCAGCCCGAUGCGGUUCCCUCCCUGUUGUGUGGGGAUGGGUAUUGGCUGGGGUUGUGGAGCUGGAGAUGAUGCUGGCAGCAGCGUGAGGAAGGGGUGAGGCACCCCUGCUGCUCCUGUACAGGUGAGUG